rnacentral:rRNA from 1 species
CUUGGGAUACCCAGAGGAAACUUAGGCUAAUACCGGAUAACAACAGAGAAGGCAUCUUCUUUGCUUGAAAGGCCCCUUCAAGGGUCACUUAAGGAUGGACCUGCGGCGCAUUAGCUAGUUGGUGAGAUAACAGCCCACCAAGGCGAGGAUGCGUAGCCGAACUGAGAGGUUGAUCGGCCACAUUGGAACUGAGACACGGUCCAAACUCCUACGGGAGGCAGCAGUAAGGAGUUUUCGGCAAUGGGGGAAACCCUGACCGAGCAACGCCGCGUGAGCGAUGACGGCCCUAUGGGGUUUGUAAAGCUCUGUUGUAAGCCAUGAAUGACAGCUUGAGGAAAUGCAAGUUGUUUGACGACAGCUUACCAGAAAGCCACGGCUAACUACGUGCCAGCAGCUGC